GACGAACGCUGGCGGCGUGCCUAAUACAUGCAAGUCGAACGCAGUGGGGACGGGUUAGUAACCCGUGGGUAACCUCCCAUCAGAGGGGAUAACACUUGGAAACAGGUGCUAAACCGAUACUGAUGGAUGGUCCCGCGGUUCAUUAGCUAGUUGGUGAGGUAACGGCUCACCAAGGCCACGAUGCAUAGCUGGCCUGAGAGGGUGAUCAGCCACACUGGGACUGAGACACGGCCCAGACUCCUAAGGGAGGCAGCAGUGGGGAAUAUUGGACAAUGGGCGAAAGCCUGAUGCAGCCAUGCCGCGUGUGUGAAGAAGGUCUUAGGAUUGUAAAGCACUUUCAGUUGGGAGGCGUUACCAACAGAAUAAGCACCGGCUAACUUCGUGCCAGCAGCCGCGGUAAUUC
rnacentral:rRNA from 1 species